rnacentral:rRNA from 1 species
UAGGGAAUCUUCCACAAUGGACGCAAGUCUGAUGGAGCAACGCCGCGUGAGUGAAGAAGGUUUUCGGACCGUAAAGCUCUGUUGUUGGUGAAGAAGGAUAGAGGUAGUAACUGGCCUUUAUUUGACGGUAAUCAACCAGAAAGUCACGGCUAACUACGUGCCAGCAGCCGCGGUAAUACGUAGGUGGCAAAGCGUUGUCCGGAUUUAUUGGGCGUAAAGCGAGCGCAGGCGGAAGAAUAAGUCUGAUGUGAAAGCCCUCGGCUUAACCGAGGAAUUGCAUCGGAAACUGUUUUUC